UGUGUUGUGGCUCAUUGGUGGAGCACUUGCCUAGCAUGUGUAAGGGCCUGGGUUCUAACCUCAGUACCACAU
rnacentral:tRNA from 1 species